GGGCCGGUGGUGUAAUGGAUAGCACGUUGCGUUCGGGCGCAAAAGGGAUGGUUCGAUCCCCUCCCGGUCCA
rnacentral:tRNA from 1 species